rnacentral:rRNA from 1 species
UACGAAGGGUGCAAGCGUUAAUCGGAAUUACUGGGCGUAAAGCGUGCGUAGACGGUUACGUAAGUCGGGUGUGAAAGCCCCGGGCUCAACCUGGGAAUUGCAUUCGAGACUGCAUAGCUAGGGUGCGGAAGAGGGAAGCGGAAUUUCCGGUGUAGCGGUGAAAUGCGUAGAUAUCGGAAGGAACACCAGUGGCGAAGGCGGCUUCCUGGCCUGUAACUGACGCUGAGACGCGAAAGCGUGGGGAGCGAACCGG